GAUGAACGCUGGCGGCGUGCCUAAUACAUGCAAGUCGAGCGAACAGACGAGGAGCUUGCUCCUCUUACGUUAGCGGCGGACGGGUGAGUAACACGUGGAUAACCUACCUAUAAUACUGGGAUAACUUCGGGAAACCGGAGCUAAUACCGGAUAAUAUAUUGAACCGCAUGGUUCAAUAGUGAAAGACGGUUUUGCUGUCACUUAUAGAUGGAUCCGCGCCGCAUUAGCUAGUUGGUAAGGUAACGGCUUACCAAGGCAACGAUGCGUAGCCGACCUGAGAGGGUGAUCGGCCACACUGGAACUGAGACACGGUCCAGACUCCUACGGGAGGCAGCAGUAGGGAAUCUUCCGCAAUGGGCGAAAGCCUGACGGAGCAACGCCGCGUGAGUGAUGAAGGUCUUCGGAUCGUAAAACUCUGUUAUUAGGGAAGAACAAAUGUGUAAGUAACUAUGCACGUAUUGACGGUAACUAAUCAGAAAGCCACGGCUAACUACGUG
rnacentral:rRNA from 1 species